rnacentral:rRNA from 1 species
AAAGUCUGACCGAGCAACGCCGCGUGAGUGAAGAAGGUUUUCGGAUCGUAAAACUCUGUUGUUAGAGAAGAACAAGUAGGAGAGUAACUGCUCUUACCUUGACGGUAUCUAACCAGAAAGCCACGGCUAACUACGUGCCAGCAGCCGCGGUAAUACGUAGGUGGCAAGCGUUGUCCGGAUUUAUUGGGCGUAAAGCGAGCGCAGGCGGUUUCUUAAGUCUGAUGUGAAAGCCCCCGGCUCAACCGGGGAGGGUCAUUGGAAACUGGGAGACUUGAGUGCAGAAGAGGAGAGUGGAAUUCCAUGUGUAGCGGUGAAAUGCGUAGAUAUAUGGAGGAACACCAGUGGCGAAGGCGACUCUCUGGUCUGUAACUGACGCUGAGGCUCGAAAGCGUGGGGAGCAAACAGGAUUAGAUGCCCUGGUAGUCCACGCCGUAAACGAUGAGUGCUAAGUGUUGGAGGGUUUCCGCCCUUCAGUGCUGCAGCUAACGCAUUAAGCACUCCGCCUGGGGAGUACGACCGCAAGGUUGAAACUCAAAGGAAUUGACGGGGGCCCGCACAAGCGGUGGAGCAUGUGGUUUAAUUCGAAGCAACGCGAAGAACCUUACCAGGUCUUGACAUCCUUUGACCACUCUAGAGAUAGAGCUUUCCCUUCGGGGACAAAGUGACAGGUGGUGCAUGGUUGUCGUCAGCUCGUGUCGUGAGAUGUUGGGUUAAGUCCCGCAACGAGCGCAACCCUUAUUGUUAGUUGCCAUCAUUCAGUUGGGCACUCUAGCGAGACUGCCGGUGACAAACCGGAGGAAGGUGGGGAUGACGUCAAAUCAUCAUGCCCCUUAUGACCUGGGCUACACACGUGCUACAAUGGGAAGUACAACGAGUCGCUAGGCCGCGAGGUCAUGCAAAUCUCUUAAAGCUUCUCUCAGUUCGGAUUGUAGGCUGCAACUCGCCUACAUGAAGCCGGAAUCGCUAGUAAUCGCGGAUCAGCACGCCGCGGUGAAUACGUUCCCGGGCCUUGUACACACCGCCCGUCACACCACGAAAGUUUGUAACACCCGAAGUCGGUGAGGUAACCCUUGUGGAGCCAGCCGCCUAAGG